CCUGUCCAUGCCCCAAAGUAACCAAUCAGCUCCACACAGCAUCUUCUUGAUUCCCUUUGACUAGAUUCAAACCUUGGUGCCUCACAUCCUGAAUAGUGAUCCAAAUAGUGAAUAGUCAACCUGAAUAGUGACUAGUGAUUCACUAUUCACUUUACACUAACUUGCCCAACCUUCUCCAAUCUUACUGUGGUAACUCUCCAAAGUUACUGUGGUAACUUUGGAGUUACUGUCUGACCCAAAUCUUCUCUAAAUGGUGUCUAAGUCCCUCCUGGACUUAACCCUAUCUUUGCACACUCAUCAGACCACUUCUAAAGCCUUAAGACUCUCCCAAAGCCUUAACAUACAAUCUCUGAAGAUCUUGCCGUGUCUUUGCACAAGCACCAACUCAACUCAUCACUUUUGCUUCUCCACUUCUUCUCUUCAAGUUAACACUCCCCCUCAAGCUUGACUCUAGCUGAUCCUAAGUCAAGCUUGGAACCUUGAAGAACUUCCUCAUUAAGAACCUCACCAAGGAAAACCCUUUGGGACAAAACCUUGAUGAGGGAAAAAGAGUAAAGUCUCCAAGGCCUAGGGAUUGGCCAGUGAGUCUUUGUGCCUUACCAACAAUGUAAGGGACACAAAGACUCGGAUCAUGGCCCCUUCUUGUGAUGCAAGGUAGAUCACAUCUUCUCUUGCUCAUCACUCUUCAUCUUGUAAUAGCUGAGCCUUGGCUGCUUCUUCUCUUAGAGUUUCCACCUUGUUCUAAAGCUUCAUGGUCGGAUGCCUCAGUCUGUAGUACCAAGGCUGCUCUGCUUUGGCCGCCUUGGAGAUUGCUUCACCAUCCUCCAUCUUGCUUCACAAACCGGUCUGCUCCUCUUCUAGAAUAACCGCCAAGUGCUCUCAUCAAGAAGCCUUCUCAACACUCCCCCUCAAGCUUGACCAUGUGGAACAAGUCAAGCUUGGAAGGAGAGCUUCUUGAUUCUCUACAUUUGCUCACUGCCGUCCACCUUCUUGAACCGGCACCUUUGUGAUCAUUUGAAGUCUUCUCAACACUCCCCCUCAAGCUUGACCAUGUGGAACAAGUCAAGCUUGGGAGAGCAGCUUCAUGAUCACACCAUCAGACCCUUGCAGCACCUUCUGAACUCGCCAUCUCCAUGGAAUGCUUGUGGAACCUUCAGCUCCCUCUUCAGACUGCUCACACUGGAAGCCGCCUUGAUAGAGUAGCUCCAUCAUCUUCACACAGCCGAGAGUGCUCUGAACACUCCCUUGUUCUUCCCACAGAUGGAUGACUCCUUUUCCAUCAGUUGCUUGCCAUGGUCUUCCUUCUUUGCUCACUUAACUCCCCUCCUCAAGCUUGGAUAGAAUGAGGGUCCAAGCUUGGAAGUGAGCAGCCGUGAGACUUCACUAACCAGUGGUACAUAACCACUUCAGUAACCGCUCUCCAUUGCUCAUGACAAUGGGCAAUGCCUUCCUCUUUCUCUUGGAUUGGUGAAGAACUAAGAACACUCCUUGUGCACCUGAAACACCACUCAACCUCCAGAGAAGAUUAGACAUAGGUGCAUUGGGUCAGUCCUUGAUUCCACAUCAAACUUGAACAUCAAUGUCUCACUAAAGCAAUGCAAGAUCAAACAAGACACCCAAGUUUCAAAUCAUUGCAAGCUUAGCUCUCUAAGUUCUAGUAUGAUCCUACAGAUUCAUUACAAGAUACUUAGGCAAUUUUUGACAGCUCCUUUACUCAGCAUUUAGACAUGAAUCUAAUGCUUCAAUGUAAGACAGCCAUUUGACAGUAUGCACUAACCUUAAUCAGUUUUAAUUCAUGAAUGCAACAAUACAAUUCAUCACACAUUCAUUUAUAACUUAGGCUAAGCAUUACUAUCAUCACUUAACAUCAGACAAUGCAUUACUUUCAAUCUGUUUUCAGUUCAUGAGCUUCAAACUAUAUCAUUUCACAUUUAGCAAACUCAUUACUUAACAGGAGCAAGCAUUUUACUCUUUAAACACUAAACAAGCCUUUAAAGCAUCCUGGGACAGAUUCAACUAGUUAUAUUUAGCAAUCACAUUAUCCUCAGGUUUUUCAAUCUAUACACAUCACAAUACACAACUCAUCUUAUCAUCUGCUCAUCAUCAAGAAGGUUUUAAGAAUCGUUUACCACAAGGAACCAGAUUG
rnacentral:lncRNA from 1 species